GAGACACCCUUAUGGGGCAGGACUCACUUCAGUGGGGCUUUGGUGCUCACUGAGUCUUCCCCCUUGAGCGUGUCGUU
rnacentral:pre_miRNA from 1 species